rnacentral:rRNA from 1 species
AUUGAACGCUGGCGGCAGGCUUAACACAUGCAAGUCGAGCGCGUGGCGCACGGGUGAGUAAUGUCUGGGAACCUGCCUGAUGGAGGGGGAUACCUUCUGGAAACGGUAGCUAACACCGCCUACCAUCAGAUGUGCCCAGAUGGGAUUAGCUAGUAGGUGGGGUAAUGGAUCACCUAGGCGACGAUCCCUAGCUGGUUUGAGAGGAUGACCAGCCACACUGGAACUGAGACACGGUCCAGACGCCUACGGGAGGAAGAAGUGGGGAAUAUUGCAAAAUGGGCGCAAGCCUGAUGCAGCCAUGCCGCGUGUGUGAAGAAGGCCUUCGGGUUGUAAAGCACUUUCAGCGAGGAGGCGUUACUCGCAGAAGAAGCACCGGCUAACUCCGUGCCAGCAGCCGCGGUAAUUC